rnacentral:tRNA from 1 species
GAGGGUAUAGUUGAGUGGUAGAACAUUGCUUAGCAUGUGUGAGGUCCUGGGUUUGAUCCCCAGCACCCCCA